rnacentral:tRNA from 1 species
GUUUUUAUAGUAUAAAAAAUAUAUAAUUUUUUCAAAAUUAAGAUGUUUAAUUACUAAAAAUU